CUUUGCUGAGUUUCUACGUUUUGCAGCCAUACAUCUCAACCGUACUGAAUUUCUCAGUUUUUACCACUUUUGGCUCAAAUAAUGGGGGUGCCACGAUUCCAGAGUGGUACUUUCUGAAUUUUCCGGCUUUUUUAAAAAUUUUUCUUUUUUGGCUUAUGUGCAGAGGCGUGCACGAUGACGUCAGCUCCUUGAACAGCCUGCCAACUUGUCAGAAUUGGUUGAGGGCUUGAGGGAUUCACUGUACUGUGUUUCUGGCCAGUCAGCAGCAGUAAAAGUAGCAUGCGAGCCAUGCAUGCAUUUCCACAGCUGCUGCAGAGGUGAAGGAAGUAGAACACAAAAUUGUGUGCCGGGGGGGCAGGCCGGACUCUCCAGGCUGCAAGGUGCUGGACACAUGGAUCUGUGUGGCUUGUCACUACUAUAGAAAAUACUUGGAGUAAAAGAGAGAGCUGUGAGAAUCCAGAUACUGCCAUCACUACCACAAUUCAAGUGUCUGCAGUCUUCAAAAUAUUGGCUAACAAUAAAACCAAAAUUAUUUUAAUAAGUUUUGUUACUAAAAACACUGCUUUGGUGUAUUAAAUAAAAUAUGUUUAUAACUACAA